rnacentral:rRNA from 1 species
AAUAGCAGUGAGGGUCCACCUGUUCCCAUCCCGAACACAGAAGUUAAGCUCACUAGUGCCGAAAAUACUUGGAUGGCGACGUCCUGGGAAGAUAGGGAAGUG